GGCCGGGUAGACCGCGGCGCAGCCGUCCAUCUUGGUGGUGGUGCCCAGCGGCACGGCGAAGCUGGCGUAGUCCGAGUCCACGCCCAGGUU
rnacentral:tRNA from 1 species